rnacentral:rRNA from 1 species
UGGGUGGCGAGUGGCGGACGGGUGAGGAAUACAUCGGAAUCUACUUUUUCGUGGGGGAUAACGUAGGGAAACUUACGCUAAUACCGCAUACGACCUACGGGUGAAAGCAGGGGAUCUUCGGACCUUGCGCGAUUGAAUGAGCCGAUGUCGGAUUAGCUAGUUGGCGGGGUAAAGGCCCACCAAGGCGACGAUCCGUAGCUGGUCUGAGAGGAUGAUCAGCCACACUGGAACUGAGACACGGUCCAGACUCCUACGGGAGGCAGCAGUGGGGAAUAUUGGACAAUGGGCGCAAGCCUGAUCCAGCCAUACCGCGUGGGUGAAGAAGGCCUUCGGGUUGUAAAGCCCUUUUGUUGGGAAAGAAAUCCAGCCGGUUAAUACCUGGUUGGGAUGACGGUACCCAAAGAAUAAGCACCGGCUAACUUCGUGCCAGCAGCCGCGGUAAUACGAAGGGUGCAAGCGUUACUCGGAAUUACUGGGCGUAAAGCGUGCGUAGGUGGUUGUUUAAGUCUGUUGUGAAAGCCCUGGGCUCAACCUGGGAACUGCAGUGGAAACUGGAUAACUAGAGUGUGGUAGAGGGUAGCGGAAUUCCCGGU